CGUUUACACAGGAAAAAAAGCGCUUAUCUUAAUCAUUCAAUGUAGAUAUUUCAGGUUUGUAGCCUUAAUACACACUAAUAUUAUUUAUGGUGAUUGCUAAAGGAAAUAUCACUGGUAUUAUUGCACAAAUUUACCUCUAACAUUGACACUUUACUCAUCCCUUAAACACGGUGUCUUGCUAAAUCACGCUGUAGAAAAGAUGAUCAAAUGUGUGAGGUUUUCGGGUAGAUAUUAGAAGUAGAUGCUAAAAUUGGUGAAAUAUUGGUUAGAAUGAAUCUUUUGAAAUUUCUAUUUAUUUAUGCAUUUAUUUGUAUUUGUUUAUUUUAAUAUUGUGCUUUUGUUGUUUUUCAUUUUUUCCGUUUGUGAACGCAGGAACAAACCGAAGGUCUUCGCAUAUGAUUAUUGCUUCUGGUCGAUGGAUGAGGCUGAGGCAGCCAAAUUUGCGGGUCAGGAUGUGGUGUUUCAGUGUCUUGGAGAGAGUCUUUUGGACAGUGCUUUCCAAGGAUACAACGCUUGUAUAUUUGCAUAUGGGCAAACAGG